GAUGAAGAACGCAGUGAAAUGCGAUACGUAAUGUGAAUUGCAGAAUUCAGUGAAUCAUCGAAUCUUUGAACGCACAUUGCGCCCCUUGGUAUUCCGAGGGGCAUGCCUGUUCGAGCGUCAUUAUAACCCCUCAAGCUCAGCUUGGUGUUGGGGCCUGCUGCACUGGCAGCCCUUAAAAUCAGUGGCGGCGCCAUCUGGCUCUAAGCGUAGUAAUUCUUCUCGCUAUGGAGUCCUGGUGGAUGCUUGCCAUCAACCCCCAAUUUUUCUAUGGUUGACCUCGGAUCAGGUAGGGAUACCCGCUGAACUUAAGCAUAUCAAUAAGCGGAGGA
rnacentral:misc_RNA from 1 species